UUAAAGGUGGUAGAGUACACAUACAGGCCCAUUAAAGGUGGUAGAGUACACAUACAGGCCCAUUAAAGGUGGUAGAGUACACAUACAGGCCCAUUAAAGGUGGUAGAGUACACAUACAGGCCCAUUAAAGGUGGUAGAGUACACAUACAGGCCCAUUAAAGGUGGUAGAGUACACAUACAGGCCCAUUAAAGGUGGUAGAGUACACAUACAGGCCAAUUAAAGGUGGUAGAGUACACAUACAGGCCCAUUAAAGGUGGUAGAGUACACAUACAGGCCCAUUAAAGGUAGUAGAGUACACAUACAGGCCCAUUAAAGGUAGUAGAGUACACAUACAGGCCCAUUAAAGGUGGUAGAGUACACAUACAGGCCCAUUAAAGGUGGUAGAGUCCGCAUACAGGCCCAUUAAAGGUGGUAGAGUACACAUACAGGCCCAUUAAAGGUGGUAGAGUACACAUACAGGCCCAUUAAAGGUGGUAGAGUACACAUACAGGCCCAUUAAAGGUGGUAGAGUACACAUACAGGCCCAUUAAAGGUGGAGGUGUGUACAUACAGGCCAAUUAAAGAUGGUGGUGUACAUACAGGCCCAUUAAAGGUGGUAGAGUACACAUACAGGCCCAUUAAAGGUGGUAGAGUACACAUACAGGCCCAUUAAAGGUGGUAGAGUACACAUACAGGCCCAUUAAAGGUGGUAGAGUCCGCAUACAGGCCCAUUAAAGGUGGUAGAGUACACAUACAGGCCCAUUAAAGGUGGUAGAGUACACAUACAGGCCCAUUAAAGGUGGUAGAGUCCGCAUACAGGCCCAUUAAAGGUGGUAGAGUACACAUACAGGCCCAUUAAAGGUGGUAGAGUACACAUACAGGCCCAUUAAAGGUGGUAGAGUACACAUACAGGCCCAUUAAAGGUGGUAGAG